rnacentral:rRNA from 1 species
ACCAGCGGAGGGAUCAUUACUGAGUUACCGCUCUACAACCCUUUGUGAACAUACCUAACCGUUGCUUCGGCGGGCAGGGGAAGCCUCUCGCGGGCCUCCCCUCCCGGCGCCGGCCCCACCACGGGGACGGGGCGCCCGCCGGAGGAAACCAAACUCUAUUUACACGACGUCUCUUCUGAGUGGCACAAGCAAAUAAUUAAAACUUUUAACAACGGAUCUCUUGGUUCUGGCAUCGAUGAAGAACGCAGCGAAAUGCGAUAAGUAAUGUGAAUUGCAGAAUUCAGUGAAUCAUCGAAUCUUUGAACGCACAUUGCGCUCGCCAGCAUUCUGGCGAGCAUGCCUGUUCGAGCGUCAUUUCAACCCUCAAGCACCGCUUGGUUUUGGGGCCCCACGGCAGACGUGGGCCCUUAAAGGUAGUGGCGGACCCUCCCGGAGCCUCCUUUGCGUAGUAACUAACGUCUCGCACUGGGAUCCGGAGGGACUCUUGCCGUAAAACCCCCAAAUUCUUUACAGGUUGACCUCGGAUCAGGUAGGAAUACCCGCUGA